rnacentral:misc_RNA from 1 species
GAUCACUUUCUCAAACCAAUAAGAAGAAUAUGCCUCAGUACUGAUAAAUGAAGUCAGACAAGAAUGAAAAUGUACGGCCAUGCACAGUUAUAUGCUAUAAAAUGUUUAGAUAGGUAGAUAUGUUUAUAGACUAGUAAAACAUAGCAAAAGCUGUUGUUUAUUAGAAGUUGUUUUCACCCUUUUGAAUUGUCAUAUCUAAUCAUUGGUUUAAAAUGUAAGAUA